rnacentral:rRNA from 1 species
AUUGAACGCUGGCGGCAGGCCUAACACAUGCAAGUCGAGCGGAGCGGCGGACGGGUGAGUAAGGACUAGGAAUCUGCCUGCUAGUGGGGGAUAACGUCCGGAAACGGGCGCUAAUACCGCAUACUAUCAGAUGAGCCUAGGGGGGAUUAGCUAGCUGGUGGGGUAAAGGCUUACCAAGGCGACGAUCCAUAGCUGGUCUGAGAGGAUGAUCAGUCACACUGGGACUGAGACACGGUCCAGACUCCUACGGGAGGCAGCAGUGGGGAAUAUUGGACAAUGGGCGAAAGCCUGAUGCAGCCAUGCCGCGUGUGUGAAGAAGGUCUUCGGAUUGUAAAGCACUUUAAGUUGGGAGGCGUUACCAACAGAAUAAGCACCGGCUAACUUCGUGCCAGCAGCCGCGGUAAUUC